ensembl:rRNA 5S_rRNA 5S ribosomal RNA
GCCAGCAGCCAUAUCACCCUACAACUCACAACUGGCAACCCAAUGAAGCUAAGCAGGUGUGAGCCUGGUCAGUACCUGGAUAGGAGACCUCCUGGGAAAAACUAAGGUUGCUGAUGGAA